AAAUCCUGAUAGUUUCUAAUUUGCAGACACCAUGAAAGACUAAAAAUGGGCCUUGGAGUGGAUAAGGGGUGUAGGAAACGGAACCAAGGUGCGAAUAGGAAGCAUUAAGGGCCAAACGAGGCCCAAAUUGGCUUCAAGGGGUGUCUUCCCGAGAGAGGUGCAGAAAGGAAUUGGUUCAGGUCUUAGGCCCAAACCGUUAGGACUCGAAGCGACAGAUGUCAAUCUCUACAGCAACGGUCACGUGAGAUUCUACACUGCGGUGGUACACUCCUCGAGCUUCUCUUCCAUCAUCAACCGCGUCUAAUCACACCUUGUUCAGUCGUGGAUGAAUCACCGGAAUGUCUUCUUUGAGGGAAUCCGGCACGGCGGUGUAUCCCUCAUCUUUUAGCUUCGCAUUCAUCAAUUUCAUUUCGUCACUCUGCGGCCACUAUUCGUGGAUUCACGUCGUUCUUCACUCAGUCAGUGCUCGCCGAUGCGCAUCUCGAUUUGGUUCUUUCUCCUCUCAACAACUUCUACUGCUAACGUAAUGGCGUCGAUGCAGAUUCGAAACUAUUUGCAUAAUGAAAUAGGAAAAAUGAAGACUUAUCGGUUUCACCGCGGUGUUAACAACAGGUUUGGUUUAGCUUCCGUCCCUGAUGUUUGCAGCUUCCGCUCUGCCAGUUGGUUUUUUAGAAGGGACAGAAUUAACCGACAUACGCGUCCUCUCCACUGCAUUCAUAACUUCACUCUGUUUACUACCAGACUAAAUCUGUAAGAGAGCAGUUGCGUCACAGUGAAGUCCAUUGUUGUUAUCUCGGUAUCAAAGGAUUGUGGCAGGUGAUGCAAAGCCAUUCCUUGUGAGGUUUCGUUUAGUGCUCGUGAUGAUUGCAGGCAUCAGUGUUGUGAAUUAAGUCCGCAAAUUCGGGGCAUUGCUGGGCUGCAGCAGGAUUUCAUGGCUUGAUGCAAUCAGAGCAAGGAAAAUUCUGAAGCCAUGGUUCGUGUAUGCAAAUUAUCAGGAUGAGAAUCCAAAACCAAACUAUAUCUCAAUGGUCUGAUAGUUAUGAAAACAAUAUCCUCUUUCAAAAACCUCCCAAUUUCUAGAACAACAACCUUGCCUUCCUUAAAAUCACCGUCCUGAAACACUCUCUUACACUCAUCAACCAAUACUUUAAGCUAAUUAACCAACUGCUGCAGCAUUUCCCUCUGGUUCAAAAGUAGAAAGACAGUCAAAAACCUAACUAAGAAUCUCAAUUGUUUAUUCAUGACACGAUUUCUCUGAUUUCCCCUUACUUUAACCCAGCUUCAAUUGGCUUCUGACGAUUCUCUUAUGUGUAUACUUUUGAAAACCUUAGAGAUAUAUGUAUCAGGCCUGCGGCAUUGGCAUUAAGGUAAAUCUCUGAUUUUGGAGAAACUUUAUUGUCGGCUUUGUCAACGGGAGUCCAGAAAAUCUCGCUUACAGGGACGCUGCUGUUGAGAUGUUAUCGCGGUCUGCUGCAACAAAGUCACAGCGUGUUGCAGGUUUUGGUAUCUGUUUGUCGUCACCGGCGGUAUGCAUCUUUUGGAGUAUUCCCUUUUUCCUUCAAGUUGUUGCACUGCCAUUUAUGUGUUUCACUUUGCAGCAGGUCUACAUUUGUAUGUCACUUUGCGGUUACAUUUUGAUUGCGGUUUCAGUCGUUUGGCUGGCUUGUGUUUGGUGCCGGCGUUGCCGUUUGUAACUGAUGUGUUUUAUUGCUAUUGCAAGUCAAGAACCAAAGUGGGUUCCAGCUGAUUUCCUUGAGACAAUGUAUUUUCAACAUCUUCUACAAGAUUACCUAUUUUACAUACAGUAGCAUUACCUUUGUUCAGGGAAUUUUCCUCGUUAGGGUGCAGCGCUGUUAUCCACUAUAGGCUUCACAUCAAGCUUCUGAAGAUCAUGCACUUUACCUGUGCUUUCAUGAUACCGAGCAAUGGACAGUGAAGACCCGCAUGCAUUGAGUGUUUUUUUCAUUCUAUUUUGAUUCAACAAGUAUUGUGAUCUUAUGCAAAUGUAAAAUGUAAACCGAUGCAAUUCUCUAUGUAAUGAGAUGACAUGGCUUAUAUGUUAAUGCCUUUACCUCA